GACGAACGCUGGCGGCGUGCCUGACCCAUGCAAGUCGAACGAAGGUGUAGCAAUACACCUGAGUGGCGGACGGGUGAGUAACACGUGAACAACCUACCUUGUACAGGGGGAUAACGUCUGGAAACGGACGCUAAUACCGCAUGAGACCACAAGACGACAUCGUGAAGGGGUCAAAGGAGCAAUCCGGUAUGAGAGGGGUUCGCGUCCCAUUAGCUAGUUGGUGAGGUAACGGCUCACCAAGGCGACGAUGGGUAGCCGAGCUGAGAGGCUGAACGGCCACACUGGAACUGAGAUACGGUCCAGACUCCUACGGGAGGCAGCAGGGAGGAAUAUUGGGCAAUGGGGGAAACCCUGACCCAGCAACGCCGCGUGAAGGAAGAAGGCCUUCGGGUUGUAAACUUCUGUGACAGGGGACGAAAGCAAUGACGGUACCCUGGGAGGAAGCCACGGCAAACUACGUG
rnacentral:rRNA from 1 species